CCUACGGGUGGCAGCAGUGAGGAAUAUUGGUCAAUGGGCGGAAGCCUGAACCAGCCAAGCCGCGUGAGGGAAGAAGGUACCACGUAUUGUAAACUUCUUUUGUCAGGGGACAAAGUCGGGCACGAGUGCCCGACUGAGGGUACCUGAAGAAAAAGCAUCGGCUAACUCCGUGCCAGCAGCCGCGGUAAUACGGAGGAUGCGAGCGUUAUCCGGAUUUAUUGGGUUUAAAGGGUGCGUAGGCGGCCUGUUAAGUCAGCGGUAAAAGCCCGGGGCUCAACCCCGGCGAGCCGUUGAAACUGGCGGGCUGGAGUUGGCGAGAGGUACGCGGAAUGCGCAGUGUAGCGGUGAAAUGCUUAGAUAUCGCGCAGAACCCCGAUUGCGAAGGCAGCAUACCGGCGGCGCACUGACGCUGAGGCACGAAAGCGUGGGUAUCGAACAGGAUUAGAUACCCGUGUAGUC
rnacentral:rRNA from 1 species